rnacentral:misc_RNA from 1 species
UGGCUCCCUCUGUCCAGGAACAAGCUUGACAUUUGGAUCCAUGGGAGUGUCUACAAGUUUGCAAUCUAUCAUACCUGUCUCUUCAAGUAUAUCCAAAGUAAAUUUCCUUUGGAAAAUAGCAAUACUCGUUAUAGAUUGUGUUACCUCAAUUCCCAAAAAAUACUUCAGUUUUUCCAGAUCUUUAUUUUGAAAAUGAUUGAAGAAAUGUUGUUUGAGAUGAGUAAUUUCAUCAUGGUCAUUUCCUAUUAUA